GUUAAUUGUUCCUCUUAUCAAAUUUUCGGAUUAUGGCAAAGAUUGCUCUCACUUUCUCUCCUUUCUUCUUUGGUUUACUUUUCCUAGUUUUGAUUGCUUUCAUCUCUCAACAAGGAGGAGGUGUGAGCGGUCAAUCCUGUGCACCUGGAGGUAAUAACAUUUUUGCAGGCAAGCUUACGGCCUAUGGUUGUUACGGUUAUUGUGAAGGUUUUUGUAAAUCAACUGCGAUUCCCAUAGGAUACACGAAGCCGAAUUUGGGUGUUAAAUCAUGGUCGUGCUCUUUUGUUGGUCCCACGUAUUAUUCUACACCUUGGCUUUGCGUGUGCUGUGUUGAUUGAAGAAUGAUCCAAUGAAUUAAUGUCCUGAUGAUUGCGCUGCCACCACCAUGCACCACCGCCAUCACACAAAAUAUCUUCUAUCUUUUUCUCUCAAAUGUAUCCACAAAAUAAGCAAUAAAUGAUUGAAUGAAAAGCCACUGUAUUUAUUAUUUCUA